AUUAAGUAAGUAUAUUAAAUGUGAGUAUACAAAGGCAAAGAAAAAGAAAGAAAAUAAAAAAGUGAUGGAGAGAAAAAGAAAAGAUGCAUAUAAGAUAAAUAAUAAUGUAAUAUUUCUUCUUUUUUAUUCACUUUAUUUAAAUAAAGGGAAAAGAAAGGGGAGAUGGAGAGAAUCCAUAUGUUUCCAAGCACUCCCAGACAAAAUGAGCUUCAGAGAAGAAAAGCAACCUUUGCUUUACGACCCAGAAAAGGAGAUUUCAAACCACUACACCACAAGGGUUAGCUUAGGAAAUUGCGUGGUUAGUAACCCAACCAAAAUCAUUUCUCUCCUCUCUCUUUCUCUCUCUCUCUUUCUCUCUCUCUUUCAUAUCAUGGUGUGAUGGUGUCUAUAUUUAGUUGCAAGCUGGGGUGCAACCACAACCCCACAUCUUUCCUUCUUUCCUUUCACUCUCAAAAUACCACUUAUUAACCCCACAAAAAUUGGCCACCCCAAUUCCUCAAGUUUAGCCGCUGGCUUGCUUGUUUUAUGGCUAUUAAAAAAGGUUUUGUGGGGCUUUGAAACAGCCCUCUAGCUAUUUGAUUAUGACCCAGUUCCUAUUUUCCACAGAUCUCCCUCUCCAUAAAUACCAAUCUCUCCUCCUUUCUCGUUCCCUUCAAUCCUUCCUUAGCUACCUCACUCUUCACCCUCUCUUCUACUUUGCUUCUAACAUGGACCAAACUUAAUCCAUGGAAGCUAGCUUGGCAAUCUAUACUUAUUAUGCACUACUUCAAGUACUUCAUGCUCAUAUACUGUCAUAGCAUCAUCACAUAACAUUGCAUAUAUAAGCAUCACAUACACUAUAAAAGCAUAUAUUUAAAUGUUUAUGUUUGCAUAUGCAUGCUUUAACAUCAGCAUACAUAUAUAUAUUGUAUGUGCCUGGCUCCCUGUAUGCCAUUUGCAGAGCCCACCGGAGAAUCGAUGGCCUCCGUGGAUGGCGUAUGAGGAGCCAUGCAUAUUCUCAUAUAUGUCAUCCAUGGUGUAUUUGCAGGAUUCUUUUUAUUUUCUUUCUUUCUUGCAAGGAAUAUUGGAAUAAGCCUAUUGAUUAUAAUGAAUAGGCAAAGAAGGGCAGCAUUGUAAUUAUGAAAAAAAUCAGGUUCUCUCAUCUCUGGUCUCUAAACCUCUAAAAGCUUUAGCAGGCCAGUUAGAGUUGGAGCAUUGGUAUAUAUGAAGGAACACACAAAUGACGACCCCCACUUGCUCUAGGGCCCUUUGUCUUCGCCUUUGCCUUUGCUUUUUAGUAAAAUCAAAAGCAAAUGGAAUUGAAGAUGAAUAGUAGAAAACGCAAAGGGCAGGGAUUUAUCUCAUCAAGAAACUGUUCCUAAACAUAUGACAUUGUCUUCUUCUUUUCCGUAGAGAGUGGAGUAGUGAGCUCACCCCUGCAUGCCCCAGACAUAAUAAUGCACACACUUUCUUUUCUUUUUUAUUUUCAUUUUCUUUUCUUGGAAGGAUCAAUGCAUUUGCACUUAGGCUUCACAACCACAUAUAACCCAUUAUCCUCAAUUUUUUUUUCUCUAGUCCCACACUACUACAUAAUGGAUCUUAGACAGCUAUGGAAAACUAUUGCUAAAUUAUAGCCAUAAGUCAAUAGCAACGGUUUGAAAACCACUACAUUUGCCUGUAAUAUAAAUUUUUUGCAACGGACAAAAGCACAUGUCUUGAAUAGGUGUAAAUCAUUAUUAUUAUAAUAGUUUUAGCAGCAAUUUCAUUAAAAUUUUAACAUAAUUUAUCAAUUAAUUUAUAACAAUUUUAAACUGUUUCAAAACUGUUGCCUAAACUAUUGUCUUAUAUGUGUAAAGGCAACAGUUUUUUAGUUACUACAAAAAAAAAAAAAAUUGCAGCCUUACUUCAAAUUACACACAUGCUAGCAACCCGUUACCCUAUUUGUUUUUUUGAUCCCAUUAAUUUGUCUAGUACAUAAUUCCAUUAAAAUAGAACUUAAUUAAUUUCUUACAGAGAAAGUAAAGAGCAAGAUCAAUCAGACUAUGAGACUAACACUUUGUGAAAAGCUAGAUCAUCAGACUAUGAGACUAACACUUUGCUUAGACUAUAGAUUAGGUUUAUCUGCACGCAUGAUCAUACGGUGUCAUAACACGUUCUUUCUUUUCUUUUCCUUCCCUGCAAUUCUUGCUUUCUCAAUGGGCAGACACACAAACACACGUCUAGCCAGGGAUUCAAGAAAGAAAGAAAAAAGGUAUGGAUUCUGGGGAAAGUAAAAGUAUGUGCAGCAGCAGGAUUAUGAUUAUAGCUACUGGGGAAUCUCAUACGAAAGAAUGGACAUGGACCCCCCUCCUCUUCCUUUCUCUCUCUUUCUUGAUUGGCCAUUAGGGAAUAUAGUAUACGGUAAAAGCAGGUCAAAAGGACACAUUGACAUUGGUCAGGGUAAUUAAUUAAGGGACCACAAUUGGAGAUCUCCUGAAAUCAAUUGUAGGAUUUUGAACACAAUGCAAAUUCAUUUCUUUAUUUUGUUCAUUCAUUUUUUUUUUUUUGUUUAAUAAACAAAUUAACCAGCCCAUGAGCUCUUAUUUACUAAUCUACAAAGAACAUUCUCCCUGGACUGAUCAGGGAUAAAUAGUGAAAGAAGAAGAUGAUGUUUACUGCCCUGGUGCAGGCCCCACAACUUACUCAAUGUGUUAUGUUGUUACAGGUUGUACCCUGUAGUGUUUCAGAAAGCUGAUUCUAUCCUAUUCUAUCUAAAAUUCAUGUGAUGAAUGGCAAAUUUUAUCCAAAGUA